GUGCUCUCUUUGGCAGCACAUAUACAAAAAUUGGAAUGAUACGAGAACAUUAGCAUGGCCCCUGGGCAAGGAUGAUGAGCAAAUUCAUGAAGUGUCCAGUAUUUUU
ensembl:snRNA U6 U6 spliceosomal RNA